CUAGGACAGCUAGGUCCACAGGACAGCACCAAGAGUUACUCUGCACGCUUAUAGUACCUGUUUAUGAACAGAAACAGAGGCAAUAUUCACAUGAAAGCUCAAAUGUGGAUCUCUCCUACCAUAGUCACGUCUUCACAAGCUGACAGCCCUCUCAAUUCUGAGAUUUGUUAUUCAGCCUUUUCCCAAUAGGAUCUACAAAGCACCUCUUGACCAUUUAUCACGCAUGGAACCAACAUGUCAAAUUCCUCAAUAACUGAUUCCCGCCUAGGAUCACACUCAUUGACUAGCUCCACCAAUUCUUACAAUUCAUUCAGGCUCUGCUACAAGCAUACAGCUUUGCUAGAAGUAGAUUUCUUCUAGGAAAUUUCAUGCUACUGAGAGGUUGUGUGGCAGAGCCAUGUUGCCAUUCUUCCAGCAUGACUUGAUAGCUAAGUUGAACACUAUCCCAAGGAGAUGCCUCCUUGACAAUUUACACUACAAAGUGAAUCAUAACCCUGACCCUGGAGACUGCUAUAACGGGCUCCUGUGAGAGUUCUAUUUGCAGAACCCAGAAUUCACAACGGAACAUCAACAUAUCCAAAAGACAAGUUUCAAUGAACAGAUUCUCAGCAAAAGGACUCUAAGGAUGCAGAGGAAGGGAAGUCGCCCAAUCUGGGAAGGAGGAAGGGGGUAGUGAGAAGUUGUUCCAUUUAGAACACUGAGGCCCUGGCUAAGACUCCUUGUUCCAGGGACGGACAGAGAAACAUGAAAUGCCUGCUCCACAAUGCUAUGCUGAACAACCAGAGGAAGUUAUAGGAUCUCACAGACUAUUAGAACCGGACUGAGAAAUCCACUUAAAUAUGAAGUCAGUUUAGAAAGGAGAAAGGUGUGACAUGUUCAAUCAAAAGAAACCUGGAGCUGACUACAGCAGAGAAAGUUGUCAUGAAUGAUAGUGAGCAUUACAUGCAAGGACAGUCCAAGAAGUCGUCUUUGUACCUAAGAGCAUCAAGAUGAAAUGUGAACUGAUAAGACAAAUCCACUCCUGUAGUUGAGGAUGUCAACACCCUCAGUAAUGGGCAGACCCAGAAGGCAUGGACAUAACUGAUCAGUCAACUGGGCUUUGUGACCACUUAUACAAUAGUUUGUUCCUGUUGAAAUAAAGAUGUUCACUCCACUGAA